UGUGAGGAUAGGCAUGGGUCCCCAUUAACUCAUUGGUGAGGUAACGACUCACCAAGGCACUGAUGGGUAGGGGAACUGAGAGGUUGAACCCCCACACUGGUACUGAGACACGGACCAGACUCCUACGGGAGGCAGCAGUGAGGAAUAUUGGUCAAUGGGCGAGAGCCUGAACCAGCCAAGUCGCGUGAAGGAUGACUGUCUUAUGGAUUGUAAACUUCUUUUGUAGGGGAAUAAAGAACAGCACGUGUGCUGGAGUGAAUGUACCCUACGAAUAAGCAUCGGCUAACUCCGUGCCAGCAGCCGCGGUAAUACGGAGGAUGCGAGCGUUAUCCGGAUUUAUUGGGUUUAAAGGGUGCGUAGGCGGCCUGUUAAGUCAGCGGUGAAAUCUAGGAGCUUAACUCCUAAAUUGCCAUUGAUACUGGCGGGCUUGAGUGUAGAUGAGGUAGGCGGAAUGCGUGGUGUAGCGGUGGAAUGCAUAGAUAUCACGCAGAACUCCGAUUGCGAAGGCAGCUUACUAAGGUACAACUGACGCUGAAGCACGAAAGCGUGGGUAUCAAACAGGG
rnacentral:rRNA from 1 species